UACAGAGGGUGCAAGCGUUGUUCGGAAUUACUGGGCGUAAAGCGCGUGUAGGCGGCGCGGUAAGUCCUGUGUGAAAGCCCUGGGCUCAACCCAGGAAGUGCGCAGGAUACUGCCGUGCUGGAGUAGCGGAGAGGAUGGCGGAAUUCCCGGUGUAGAGGUGAAAUUCGUAGAUAUCGGGAGGAACACCUGUGGCGAAGGCGGCAUCCUGGCCCUGACCUGACGCUCAGGGGCGAAAGCGUGGGGAGCAAACCGG
rnacentral:rRNA from 1 species